UGGCGAACGGGUGAGUAACGCGUGAGGAACCUGCCUCAAAGAGGGGGACAACAGUUGGAAACGACUGCUAAUACCGCAUAAGCCCACGGGUCGGCAUCGACCUGAGGGAAAAGGAGCAAUCCGCUUUGGGAUGGCCUCGCGUCCGAUUAGCUAGUUGGUGAGGUAAUGGCCCACCAAGGCGACGAUCGGUAGCCGGACUGAGAGGUUGAACGGCCACAUUGGGACUGAGACACGGCCCAG
rnacentral:rRNA from 1 species